AUCAUGGCUCAGAUUGAACGCUGGCGGCAGGCCUAACACAUGCAAGUCGAGCGGUAGAGAGAAGCUUGCUUCUCUUGAGAGCGGCGGACGGGUGAGUAAUGCCUAGGAAUCUGCCUAGUGGUGGGGGGAUAACGUUCGGAAACGGACGCUAAUACCGCAUACGUCCUACGGGAGAAAGCGGGGGAUCUUCGGACCUCGCGCCAUUAGAUGAGCCUAGGUCGGAUUAGCUAGUUGGUGAGGUAAUGGCUCACCAAGGCGACGAUCCGUAACUGGUCUGAGAGGAUGAUCAGUCACACUGGAACUGAGACACGGUCCAGACUCCUACGGGAGGCAGCAGUGGGGAAUAUUGGACAAUGGGCGAAAGCCUGAUCCAGCCAUGCCGCGUGUGUGAAGAAGGUCUUCGGAUUGUAAAGCACUUUAAGUUGGGAGGAAGGGUAGUAACUUAAUACGUUGCUACUUUGACGUUACCGACAGAAUAAGCACCGGCUAACUUCGUG
rnacentral:rRNA from 1 species